rnacentral:rRNA from 1 species
UACGAAGGGGGCUAGCGUUGCUCGGAAUGACUGGGCGUAAAGGGCGCGUAGGCGGCUUGCACAGUCAGGCGUGAAAUUCCUGGGCUCAACCUGGGGACUGCGCUUGAGACGUGUGGGCUUGAGUGGGGAAGAGGGUCGUGGAAUUCCCAGUGUAGAGGUGAAAUUCGUAGAUAUUCGGAAGAACACCAGUGGCGAAGGCGGCUCACUGGACCGGUAUUGACGCUGAGGUGCGAAAGCGUGGGGAGCAAACAGG